GAAUGGCUCACUAGCCUGACACAAAGACCAAAAACUGGGGGCACUGUUCUCCUGAAAGACUAUGCAAGUGUGUGGAAGCUGUGUGCCUUUGGGAACUGGCUCUCUGAGGGCAGGGGAGAUGGUGCCCCCACGGCCCUGCUCUGGCAAGCCGGGGCUGGCCAUCCAGCAGCAUUGUGGAGCAGCAGCCUGGGAAGGCAUUGACAUUUUUGCACGUGGUGUUGAUGGUGGAGGUGGGGAGAGGUGUCCUGUGAAGCCAACUUGCACAAAGCUGAUCAUUCAGUGGAGUCCAUUCUCACCAUGAGAAGAACAUUCUACUGUCAGCAGGCAGAGUGAGGAUGGAGACAUCACUGAUUCACUUGGCUAGUUCCAUGUGGGCAUUCCAUGUCCAUGGAUGAAUGGAUAAGUAACUGAUCCACAAGAGGAGGCAGGACCUAUUCUAUCAAGGAUCGGUAAUUGGGAAUAAGCUUCUCAUUUCAUCCUAAAGGAUUCUGUCACUCCACUGAAAUCUUAAGAGUCUCCAGUGCUUGUUAGGAAAGUGUGGAAGAUGAACCCCUUCUUCAUCCACAGAUGCUGAGAAUGCUAAUUAGAAGACAGGUAUCAGGAAGCCCACACAGAGACGGUUUUGGGAUUUUGUCAGCACUGGGCAAGUGGCUUAAGAUCUGCCCUGCCGGUGUUUGACACCCGAGUCUGAAGCUGGCACCUCAUCCAUUCCCUAGUCCUGCCUUUUUGCUCCCCGGGCUCCCUUUCCAGUGCCACCAUCGCCCUCUUUGCACUUCCCUCGCACUCCAUCUCAGAAGCAGACUUCAAGGAGAUCAAAAGAGGCUGCUCCUCAAGGAAGAGCAGGGGUCCUGCGGCUAGAAAGCGGGGGGCAGGUGAGCAGGUCUUUCCCACACAGGAGCCAGCAUACCCGGGGCAGGCAGGCAGGCACUUAAUAAGGGCUUUGAAAUGGAUUCUUUCAAUAAGCACGUAUAGACCAUUUGCUGCACAUGCUACGUAGUCCUAAUAAGGCCCAGCCGCGAUAAGAAUUUGCUCCAUGGUGUUGACUGCAUUAGCGUGGAAAUGAAGAGGAUCGUGCGGCUCUCCUUUUAGGAAAUCAAAUUUCUAAAACCAUGCAAGGAGAAGAAUAGAAUCCUUCCAGGCCCAAUAUUUACCAAGGAGACCUUCCUCUCUGCCGAUGGUCCGGAGGGUCACAUUGGGUCUCAGCAGAGGAAAAGCCGUAGGCCCUGGGCCAGAGUGCAUGCCAGCUAGUCUAAGGGGAGAGGAGAGGGCCAGAAGCACCAGAGCACGUGAUUUAUUUCUGGUCAUAAAGGAAUCAAUUACUGUACCAGGAUAAAGCAGCGAUUUUUUUUUUCUACUCUGCUUUUGCAAUCUUCUUUCUUCUCCGUUUCUAUUUCACUCUCAUUUAGCUAUAACUGAGGAGUACUCAGUCCACUCUUCCCCAUUCAUUUUCCAUCAUGUCAUUUUAUUUUGCAUUGAGAACUCAAAUCCUUGUUUACAUGUAAAUAACUCACUGUUCUUCAUGCUUAUUUAAAAACAAAUAAAAAGAGACCACUAAUUAUCAAAAUUGUUUGAAAUAUACCAUUUUUGGCAACAGAUCCCUUAUUACUAUAGAUCACUUUUCAUUAUUUAAACAUGGUUUUUUGAUCUUUUUCUCUCAGGGAUUGGAUUUAAAGAAUUGAGCUUUAGAAUAGUCAAAGAAAGACUGAAAACUCUUUGGGUAUAAAUUGGAGGAAACUACUAAAAUGCUAAGUGCCAUGUUGUAGUCUACUAUUGCUUUUUAGUAAUGGAAAUGCAGCUUGGUACGCUCCUCAGAAGAACAUCCUUAUAUUUUUGCAUUGCAAGUGUUCAUUAUGUGCAAGGGUCAGAGCAGAACUGAUCUGAAGGAGCUCAAUUUUAAAAUCCCUUUAAAAAUCUGGACAAAGGAUGCCAUAGUAUUACACUAAAAUGUUUAAAAACAAAAAGUAUUAUGCGUGCCCCAUGGUGGAAGAUCAGAUUUUUAUUAAUGCAAGUUUUAAAUGCUGAUUAAUCCUCUUGAGAGUCAGUUUCCCAAAGCAUUGGAUUGUAUUCAAGUCGUUUGCAAAACGGCACAUCACUACCAAUAUUCUGAAUAUUAAUUGAACAACAUUAUAACUGAGGAUACAAAGCAAGAUUUAAAACAUGAUUACAGCUGUCAGUGCUUACAUCUAAAUAAGUCAUUGGAAAUUCAGGCAUUAAAGAGAAAAAUGUAGUAAAUCGGUCUUAGCAGAACAGUGAAGCUCUCUCUCUUAGCCGUUUUAAAAAAUAAGUCUGAUGCUUUAGGACCCAAGAGAGCUUCAGUUAUGACUUCGCCUUGUAUUUAUAUGGGCAAUUUCUGAUCAGAAUUCAGAAAUCAAAGGUAGAUUUUUUUACUUGUGAUUCGACACCGCAUCAAGGACAUUUUCUUGGGGAAGAAGGAGAGGAAGAGUCAGAGAAUAUUAUCCAGUUGAUAGAAUCUUCACAUUUCCUUAUUUUCUAUUUCUAUUUCAGUCUCUGUCCACACUCAAAAAUCAAAGAAUUAGCCCGACUUAAUCAAACAAAAUAUUACUAUGUUUUCCGAACAACUUAUUCAGCUCAGAGUCAAGCAACUGUAAGUAACUAAUGACUUAUUUUUACAAUAAUCAAAUUUGUCUAAAUGCAACUUCUUUUAUCUCUCAAAUCUAGUUUGGGGAUUGAUAAAAUCCUCAUCUCUCCACCAGAUGCAAUAUAAAAUACUGGCUUCUAUUAUAACCAUGGGGAAUUUUAGUUUUGUUUUGUUUCUUUAAAUGGUUGCUGUGUAUUUGAGUGAUAGCUCUUUGUUCGAAAAGAUGCAAAAGCCACUCUCACAUCUAAGUCUAAUGAGAUAAAUGGCAUUAUGAAGGGAAUAUUAAAAAUUUACAGCCCUUUUUACUAAGUUUUUUUGUCAGCUGUAGAUGCUGAAUAUUGCAUUGCACACACACACACAAACACACACACACACACAUACAGUCCUGACGAUGAAAAAGAUAUGAGGAGAUAAUGAUGCAAUCAUAACACGUCUGAUGGAGUUUGCAUAUCUCGGUUGCUGUUUGGCAUGCCAUUUAAUUGUAUUGCGCCAAACUGGCAGAAUCACACAAUAUGUUAGUGUAAAAGGUCCACAGUUUAAAGGGAAAAUCUAGAAGUGUUGACUAUACACUGUCUAAUUAUACAACCUUACUGCCCCAGAAUGUGAUUUCAGAAACCAUUUCUGACAUAUGGGAAAAGGGUAGAACAGCUGGUCAUUAAGGUUUUCUCAAGACUAUUUAGCAACACACUUGAAUGUAAUUAAAGUGAGACACUAAAUACUGCACUUGUGGUACAAUGUAUUUUUAAUUUUUAUGGCAUGUGGUAAAAGUAAAUAGAUGCAAAGCAUUCAAGUUUCUGCAUUCAGCAUCCAACUUGUCAAAGAUGCACUGUCUGGCUGAUCGCAAGCAGGGUCCUGGUGUUAGUCACAGGCAUCCAUUUGGGGUGCUUAAGACUGUCUUUAAGGGACUGAAUUUGGCAAUACACAGAUGAAAUGUCAAAUUGGGAUCCUCAGACAAAGCAUGAGAUGAAAUUCACUCGUUCAUUCACUCAUUCAUCCAACACAGCUUGGAUUAUUUUAGGUGGGCAUUAUUUCUGCCCUCAAGUUGCUUGCAGCUUACGUUGCUUAAAAACAGUGUGAUAGAUGCUCAUUAAAGGGUGCUAUGACAGCACCAAGAAGGAGUCUGGCCCACACUGGAGGCCUUCCCCGAGUAAGAAUUAUCUUAGUCAGCCAAAAAAAUGGUGAGAGUCAGGGGUAAGGAGUACGAGUGAGGGCAGGAAAAUAGUCCAAGCAGAAGGAGCAGCUAAAGCAAAGCCUUGGAGACAAAAAGGAAUAUGAGAAUAUGAAUACAAUCUUGACCUUUAUUGAACAAUUUAUAAUGUUCUGGCACUAGGGUAAGGCCUUGACAUAUAUUGUCUCAUUUAAUCCUCACAACAACCCUAUGUGGUAAGUACUAUUAUCAUACUUUACAAAUAAGGAAACUAACAGGCUAGUUUGUGGCAAAGGAAUUAGUGGGUAACCGAACCACAGUUCAAGCCCAGGUUUGUGUGAGUUCCAAGUCAAUAUCUUUUCUCCAAAAGCUCCCCCCCCCCACAAUUUGACAUAUAUGUAUAUUGCAUGUGUAUUUAGCUUUCAAAGAAGUUAGCGUGUAAAUACAUUCAUUCUUAUAAAAACCCUAUAGAGUGUAAAUACAUUCAUUCUUAUAAAAACCCUAUGAUUAAGAGAAUAAAAAGACAAGCUGCAGACUGGGAGAAAAUAGCUGCAAAUCACAUAUCUGACAAUGGGUUUGUAUCCAGAAUAUAUAAAGAACUCUCUAAACUCAACAGAAAAAAAAAUUCAACCAAUUAAGUCAAUGAGCAAAAGACACACGAUGGCAGAUAAGCAAAUGAAAAAAUGCUCAACAUCAUUAGCUAUUAGGGAAA
rnacentral:lncRNA from 1 species